UAGAACCAAUAGAACAAAGGGAAAAGAAAUAACUCUCUAAUUUCUAUUAAUUUUCUGUUGUUAAUAAUAAUAAUCAUAAUAAGCUCUCUUAGAAUAAUGAGAUUACAUAGGUAUUUAUAGACCAAUAUUGAUCCUACAACUACUAGGAUUAAAAAUCCCAAAAUAAAAAAUACUAAACUAGUCUAAUUGGGAACAUCAAAUUAGCAGUAACUAGGAAAAUACUGAAUCUAAUAGAACACUUUUAAUUGUCCUAAAUAGAAAUCUACUUCCUAAUUAAAUUUCCUAA
rnacentral:misc_RNA from 1 species